GGGCUCUUGGCGCAGCUGGUAGCGCGUUCGCUUCGCAUACAUAAUCUUUCCACCUGCCUGCGAAAGGUCGUUGGUUCCAUUCCUACAGUGUCCA